rnacentral:rRNA from 1 species
CCUACGGGGGGCAGCAGUGAGGAAUAUUGGUCAAUGGACGAGAGUCUGAACCAGCCAAGUAGCGUGAAGGAUGACUGCCCUAUGGGUUGUAAACUUCUUUUAUAUGGGAAUAAAAUGUUCCACGUGUGGGAUUUUGUAUGUACCAUAUGAAUAAGGAUCGGCUAACUCCGUGCCAGCAGCCGCGGUAAUACGGAGGAUCCGAGCGUUAUCCGGAUUUAUUGGGUUUAAAGGGAGCGUAGGUGGAUUGUUAAGUCAGUUGUGAAAGUUUGCGGCUCAACCGUAAAAUUGCAGUUGAAACUGGCAGUCUUGAGUACAGUAGAGGUGGGCAGAAUUCGUGGUGUAGCGGUGAAAUGCUUAGAUAUCACGAAGAACUCCGAUUGCGAAGGCAGUUCACUGGACUGCAACUGACACUGAGGCUCGAAAGUGUGGGUAUCAAACAGGAUUAGAUACCCCUGUAGUC